rnacentral:snoRNA from 1 species
GCUCAUGUUUAGUUGUCCUGUGACUUUGAAAAAUCAUUUCAGCGAGCUGCCUUUGAGCCCCUGCUAUGCCUGCGCAUAACUGGGGCCACCUGGUUCCCCCGCCACUGACUCUUUUAACCGCAAGCAACAUGG